rnacentral:lncRNA from 1 species
AUAUAUAUAUAUAUAUAUAUAUAUAUAUAUAUGUCUGUCUGUGUGUGUGUGUGUGUGUGCGCGCGCGCGCAUCCAUCAGUAUAUAAUACACAUAUAUGUAUGUACGUAUGUAUAUGGUUAUGGAUAUGGAUAUUGAUGUUUGUAUGUAUGUAUAUGUGCAUGUGUGUAUUAUAUACUGAUGCAUGCAGCACCAGGUUAUUUUGGAAGUCAAAUGUUUUUAUCUUUUUUUUUCCGGGGGGUGGGGUUUGGGGGUGUGGCUAUUAAAUUAAAAAAAAAAAUGUCUUGGAGAGGCACGUAUUUUUUCUAGGAAAAGCCCAUGAUUUCUAUCAAAAGAACCUGAAACAUUUUCAAGACAGAUUGUAAGAGAGUCAGUGUGGGCCGUGAGCAAGGGAGAUAAUCUCAAUCAACAUUCACCAAGUAAGAUACCUUUAGUAAUUUAGUCUCUAGUCCUUGACAUGGAUAAAAAUCUCUUGAAAUUGACUAUUUAGAGUCUAAGGAGAUAUGGUGCCUAUUCAAUAGCAGUUAUUGGAAUGAGAAAUAUCUUUGGUCAUGGGAUCUCAAAAAUUCCGAGAUUAAAUGUGGGAAAGAGUCAAAGGAUCACUUUAAGAAGUAGUGGAAGUCUAACAAUGCAAGUUAUUUUGAGUUAUUUUAUUUUGAAACUUUGUGUGUGUG